rnacentral:rRNA from 1 species
UACAGAGGGUGCAAGCGUUGUUCGGAAUUAUUGGGCGUAAAGCGCGCGCAGGCGGUCCCUUAAGUCUGAUGUGAAAGCCCACGGCUCAACCGUGGAGGGUCAUUGGAAACUGGGGGACUUGAGUACAGAAGAGGAAAGCGGAAUUCCACGUGUAGCGGUGAAAUGCGUAGAGAUGUGGAGGAACACCAGUGGCGAAGGCGGCUUUCUGGUCUGUAACUGACGCUGAGGCGCGAAAGCGUGGGGAGCAAACAGG